UUUGCUUUACUACAUUGAAAACACAGGUUCUCGUUCGAUCAUCGAAGUUAAGCAAUGUCAGGCCCGGACAGUACUUGGGAGGGUGACUACCUGGGAACACCGGCUGUAACUAUAGGCU